rnacentral:rRNA from 1 species
GAUGAACGCUGGCGGCGUGCCUAAUACAUGCAAGUCGAGCGAAUGGAUUAAGAGCUUGCUCUUAUGAAGUUAGCGGCGGACGGGUGAGUAACACGUGGGUAACCUGCCCAUAAGACUGGGAUAACUCCGGGAAACCGGGGCUAAUACCGGAUAACAUUUUGAACCGCAUGGUUCGAAAUUGAAAGGCGGCUUCGGCUGUCACUUAUGGAUGGACCCGCGUCGCAUUAGCUAGUUGGUGAGGUAACGGCUCACCAAGGCAACGAUGCGUAGCCGACCUGAGAGGGUGAUCGGCCACACUGGGACUGAGACACGGCCCAGACUCCUACGGGAGGCAGCGGUAGGGAAUCUUCCGCAAUGGACGAAAGUCUGACGGAGCAACGCCGCGUGAGUGAUGAAGGCUUUCGGGUCGUAAAACUCUGUUGUUAGGGAAGAACAAGCGCUAGUUGAAUAAGCUGACACCUUGACGGUACCUAACCAGAAAGCCACGGCUAACUACGUGCCAGCCGCCGCAGUAA